rnacentral:rRNA from 1 species
UGGCGGACGGGUGAGUAACGCGUGGGGAACCUGCCCUGUACAGGGGGAUAACACUUAGAAAUAGGUGCUAAUACCGCAUAAGCGCACAGUAUCGCAUGAUACAGUGUGAAAAACUCCGGUGGUACAGGAUGGACCCGCGUCUGAUUAGCUGGUUGGCGGGGUAACGGCCCACCAAGGCGACGAUCAGUAGCCGGCCUGAGAGGGUGAAGGCCACAUUGGGACUGAGACACGGCCCAAACUCCUACGGAAGGCAGCAG